rnacentral:rRNA from 1 species
ACAGCAGUAGCCACGGUAAUACGUAGGGUGCAAGCGUUAAUCGGAAUUAUUGGGCGUAAAGGGCUCGCAGGCGGUUUCUUAAGUCUGAUGUGAAAGCCCCCGGCUCAACCGGGGAGGGUCAUUGGAAACUGGAAACCUUGAGUGCAGAAGAGGAGAGUGGAAUUCCACGUGUAGCGGUGAAAUGCGUAGAGAUGUGGAGCAACACCAGUGGCGAAGGCGACUCUCUGGUCUGUAACUGACGCUGAGGAGCGAAAGCGUGGGGAGCGAACAGGAUUAGAUACCCGAGUAGUCCCUGUCUCUUAUAC